UGGGGAAUAUUGGACAAUGGGCGAAAGCCUGAUCCAGCCAUGCCGCGUGUGUGAAGAAGGUCUUCGGAUUGUAAAGCACUUUAAGUUGGGAGGAAGGGCUGCAAGUUAAUACCUUGCAGUUUUGACGUUACCAACAGAAUAAGCACCGGCUAACUUCGUGCCAGCAGCCGCGGUAAUACGAAGGGUGCAAGCGUUAAUCGGAAUUACUGGGCGUAAAGCGCGCGUAGGUGGUUUGGUAAGAUGGAUGUGAAAUCCCCGGGCUCAACCUGGGAACUGCAUCCAUAACUGCCUGACUAGAGUACGGUAGAGGGUGGUGGAAUUUCCUGUGUAGCGGUGAAAUGCGUAGAUAUAGGAAGGAACACCAGUGGCGAAGGCGACCACCUGGACUGAUACUGACACUGAGGUGCGAAAGCGUGGGGAGCAAACA
rnacentral:rRNA from 1 species